UGGGAAUUUUGGACAAUGGGCGAAGCCUGAUCCAGCAAUGCCGCGUGUGUGAAGAAGGCCUUCGGGUUGUAAAGCACUUUUGUCCGGAAAGAAAUCCUUGGCUCUAAUACAGUCGGGGGAUGACGGUACCGGAAGAAUAAGCACCGGCUAACUACGUGCCAGCAGCCGCGGUAAUACGUAGGGUGCAAGCGUUAAUCGGAAUUACUGGGCGUAAAGCGUGCGCAGGCGGUUUGCUAAGACCGAUGUGAAAUCCCCGGGCUCAACCUGGGAACUGCAUUGGUGACUGGCAGGCUAGAGUAUGGCAGAGGGGGGUAGAAUUCCACGUGUAGCAGUGAAAUGCGUAGAGAUGUGGAGGAAUACCGAUGGCGAAGGCAGCCCCCUGGGCCAAUACUGACGCUCAUGCACGAAAGCGUGGGGAGCAAACAGGAUUAGAUACCCUGGUAGUCCACGCCCUAAAACGAUGUCAACUAGUUGUUGGGGAUUCAUUUCCUUAGUAACGUAGCUAACGCGUGAAGUUGACCGCCUGGGGAGUACGGUCGCAAGAUUAAAACUCAAAUGAAUUGAC
rnacentral:rRNA from 1 species